GGGGAUAUAGCUCAGUGGUAGAGUGCAUGCUUAGCAUGUAUGAGGUCCUGGGUUCAAUCCCCAGUACCUCCC
rnacentral:tRNA from 1 species